rnacentral:rRNA from 1 species
GACGAACGCUGGCGGCGUGCUUAACACAUGCAAGUCGAACGGAAAGGCCCUGCUUUUGUGGGGUGCUCGAGUGGCGAACGGGUGAGUAACACGUGAGUAACCUGCCCUUGACUUUGGGAUAACUUCAGGAAACUGGGGCUAAUACCGGAUAGGAGCUCCUGCUGCAUGGUGGGGGUUGGAAAGUUUCGGCGGUUGGGGAUGGACUCGCGGCUUAUCAGCUUGUUGGUGGGGUAGUGGCUUACCAAGGCUUUGGCGGGUAGCCGGCCUGAGAGGGUGACCGGCCACAUUGGGCCUGAGGUACGGCCCAGACUCCUACGGGAGGCAGCAGUGGGGAAUAUUGCACGAUGGGCGGAAGCCUGAUGCAGCAACGCCGCGUGCGGGAUGACGGCCUUCGGGUUGUAAACCGCUUUCGCCUGUGACGAAGCGUGAGUGACGGUAAUGGGUAAAGAAGCACCGGCUAACUACGUG